rnacentral:rRNA from 1 species
GACGAACGCUGGCGGCGUGCUUAACACAUGCAAGUCGAACGGAAAGGCCCUGCUUUUGUGGGGUGCUCGAGUGGCGAACGGGUGAGUAACACGUGAGUAACCUGCCCCUGACUUUGGGAUAACUUCAGGAAACUGGGGCUAAUACCGGAUAGGAGCUCCUGCUGCUUGGUGGGGGUUGGAAAGUUUCGGCGGUUGGGGAUGGACUCGCGGCUUAUCAGCUUGUUGGUGGGGUAGUGGCUUACCAAGGCUUUGACGGGUAGCCGGCCUGAGGGGGUGACCGGCCACAUUGGGACUGGGAUACGGCCCGGACUCCUACGGGAGGCAGCAGUGGGGAAGAUUGCACAAUGGGCGGAAGCCUGGUGCAGCAACGCCGCGUGCGGGAUGACGGCCUUCGGGUUGUAAACCGCUUUCGCCUGUGACGAAGCGUGAGUGACGGUAAUGGGUAAAGAAGCACCGGCUAACUACGUG